GACGAACGCUGGCGGCGUGCUUAACACAUGCAAGUCGAACGGAAAGGCCCUGCUUUUGUGGGGUGCUCGAGUGGCGAACGGGUGAGUAACACGUGAGUAACCUGCCCUUGACUUUGGGAUAACUUCAGGAAACUGGGGCUAAUACCGGAUAGGAGCUCCUGCUGCAUGGUGGGGGUUGGAAAGUUUCGGCCGUUGGGGAUGGACUCGCGGCUUAUCAGCUUGUUGGUGGGGUAGUGGCUUACCAAGGCUUUGACGGGUAGCCGGCCUGAGAGGGUGACCGGCCACAUGGGGACUGAGGUACGGCCCAGACUCCUACGGGAGGCAGCAGUGGGGAAUAUUGCACAAUGGGCGGAAGCCUGAUGCAGCAACGCCGCGUGCGUGAUGACGGCCUUCGGGUUGUAAACCGCUUUCGCCGGUGACGAAGCGUGAGUGACGGUAAUGGGUAAAGAAGCACCGGCUAACUACGUG
rnacentral:rRNA from 1 species